GGCGAUUUAGCCAAGCGGUCCAAGGCGCUAGGUUCAGGCUGUAAUAACCUCCUAGUCUCGAUUUUCGGGGCGUGGGUUCGAAUCCCACAGUCGUCA
rnacentral:tRNA from 1 species